rnacentral:rRNA from 1 species
GUGGGGGAUAUUGCACAAUGGAGGGAACUCUGAUGCAGCAACGCCGCGUGAAGGACGAAGGCCUUCGGGUUGUAAACUUCUGUCCUUGGUGACGAAGAAAGUGACGGUAGCCAGGGAGGAAGCCACGGCUAACUACGUGCCAGCAGCCGCGGUAAUACGUAGGUGGCGAGCGUUGUCCGGAAUUACUGGGUGUAAAGGGUGCGUAGGCGGCUUCUAAAGUCAGAUGUGAAAUACCGCAGCUCAACUGCGGGGCUGCAUUUGAAACUUGGGAGCUUGAGUGAAGUAGAGGUAAGCGGAAUUCCUAGUGUAGCGGUGGAAUGCGUAGAUAUUAGGAGGAACACCAGUGGCGAAGGCGGCUUACUGGGCUUUAACUGACGCUGAGGCACGAAAGCGUGGGGAGCAAACAGGA